GGACUACACGGGUUUCUAAUCCCGUUCGCUCCCCUAGCUUUCGCGCCUCAGCGUCAGAAGAGGUCCAGCACGUCGCUUUCGCCACCGGCGUUCCUUCCGAUAUCAACGCAUUUCACCGCUCCACCGGAAGUUCCACAUGCCCCUACCUCGCUCAAGACGGCCAGUAUCAAAGGCUAUUUUCCGGUUAAGCCGAAAGAUUUCACCCCUGACUUUGCCACCCGCCUACGCGCCCUUUAAGCCCAGUGAUUCCGAACAACGUUUGCACGGUUCGUCUUACCGCGGCUGCUGGCAC
rnacentral:rRNA from 1 species